rnacentral:lncRNA from 10 species
GAAAUGUUUAAAUGCAGAAUGAACUCACAAGCAAGAAGAGGAACACCCAAGCUGUCUGAAAUAAAGGAAGAACUAAAACAAGAAUCAGAAACACAUAAGCGAAUGGGUCAGGAAGGCCAGAGUGUGGUGAGGUGGGGACCAUUUUAAUACUAUGUGCCAGGAUAGGAGAUAGAGUCUUUAAACCAAGGGUAAGGACAGUGGGAACCAAGCCUCUGGAUUAAAGCUGGGUGUCUCCAAGGGUCGUAGCCUCAGUGGAAAGGAAGACUUGAGAAGUCCUAAAUGACUUGAGACGAACACAUGGAUUUGCCAAAUAACAGACACUAGAUAGGAGCUAUAAGAAGGUAAUACAAGUUAAAUGAAGUUAUAAGGAUGGAACUUUGAUCUGACAAGACUGGUGCCCUUGUAAGAAGAGACAACAGAGAUCUCUCUCUCUCUGUGAGCACAAAGAGAAGAGGCCAUGUGGAGACACAGGGAGAAAGCAACAGUCUACAAGCCAGGAAGAGAGUUCUCACCAGAAACCAACUUGAUGGCACCUUGCUCUUAGACUUCUAGCCUCCAGAAUGGGCCUGAUGCAGAAGUGCUUCUCCUUCCCCUUGCCCCUGGACCUGAGCCGGAGCUGUCUAUCUACAUGAGGACACCAUCUGGCAACACUGAAAUGUUGCCCUCACUGUAUGCCAUCACCAGGAAGACAAGCAAUAGAUGAUGAGUGAAAAUAAAAUGUUUAGUUGGAAACUAUUUGGGAAUGGCUUUAUGUCCACAUAUGGACACAGCCUGGCUGGAACUGGGGAGAUCUUCCCUUUCUGGUGUCUUUUCAAGGUCUUGAGAUGAGCUCUAACAAAUAUCUCAGGCCAUCUGGCCUAGUUUUUCAUAAUUGUGACUCCUAAAUGUAAACACGGUCCGAGAGAAUAUCGGGAACAAAAAAAAGGCUAAUGAAAUUCUUCUAAUUUAACGGAGUUGUUCUGAGUCUCAUUCAGUUACUUAAACAUUUUUUUCUUUCCUUCUCGCAGUCAUCAAUCCUGGAAAAUCU